CAGAGAUUCAAAAUUUUAAGUUAAUAUCUCUUUCUGUUCCAUAAAUAUGGACUUUUGAAUAGAUAUAGAAUAUAAUGGAGGAAUCUGAAUCUGUACCUUAUAAUGUACCAUGUGAUCUUCAGCAGGUGUUAAAAAUUUGUGUAAUUUGAUUAAAAUAAUUGUAUGUGUGUGAAUGUUUGCACUGAUGCGAACAAAUAGUUUUUGCUUGGAAAAGUAGAAAUGAAUGUGCUAUUUUUAUAGAUAUUCACAUAGAAGCCAUUUUAAUGUUGUCAAUAUUUGGUAAAUAUGACUUACAUUGAAAAUUUAUUUUUCCC
rnacentral:lncRNA from 1 species